rnacentral:rRNA from 1 species
UACGUAGGGGGCUAGCGUUGUCCGGAAUCAUUGGGCGUAAAGAGCGUGUAGGCGGCCCGGUAAGUCCGCUGUAAAAGUCAAAGGCUCAACCUUUGAAUGUCAGUGGAUACUGCCGGGCUAGAGUCCGGAAGAGGAGAAUGGAAUUCCCGGUGUAGCGGUGAAAUGCGCAGAUAUCGGGAAGAACACCCGUGGCGAAGGCGGUUCUCUGGGACGGUACUGACGCUGAGGUGCGAAAGCGUGGGGAGCAAACAGG